AGCGAACGCUGGCGGCAGGCUUAACACAUGCAAGUCGAACGGGCACUUCGGUGCUAGUGGCAGACGGGUGAGUAACGCGUGGGAACGUGCCUUUCGGUUCGGAAUAACCCAGGGAAACUUGGACUAAUACCGGAUACGCCCUUCGGGGGAAAGAUUUAUCGCCGAAAGAUCGGCCCGCGUCUGAUUAGCUAGUUGGUGAGGUAAAGGCUCACCAAGGCGACGAUCAGUAGCUGGUCUGAGAGGAUGAUCAGCCACAUUGGGACUGAGACACGGCCCAAACUCCUACGGGAGGCAGCAGUGGGGAAUAUUGGACAAUGGGCGCAAGCCUGAUCCAGCCAUGCCGCGUGAGUGAUGAAGGCCUUAGGGUUGUAAAGCUCUUUUGUCCGGGAAGAUAAUGACUGUACCGGAAGAAUAGGCCCCGGCUAACUUCGUGCCAGCCGCCGCAGUAA
rnacentral:rRNA from 1 species